AUUGAACGCUGGCGGCAUGCUUUACACAUGCAAGUCGAACGGUAACAGGGUGCUUGCACCGCUGACGAGUGGCGAACGGGUGAGUAAUGCGUCGGAACGUGCCGAGUAGUGGGGGAUAACGCAGCGAAAGUUGUGCUAAUACCGCAUACGUACUGAGGUAGAAAGUGGGGGACCUUCGGGCCUCACGCUAUUCGAGCGGCCGGAGUCGGAUUAGCUAGUAGGUGAGGUAAGAGCUCACCUAGGCGACGAUCAGUAGCGGGUCUGAGGGGAUGAUCCGCCACACUGGGACUGAGACACGGCCCAGACUCCUACGGGAGGCAGCAGUGGGGAAUUUUGGACAAUGGGCGCAAGCCUGAUCCAGCCAUGCCGCGUGUCUGAAGAAGGCCUUCGGGUUGUAAAGGACUUUUGUCAGGGAGGAAAUCCUAGUGGCUAAUAACUACUGGGGAUGACAGUACCUGAAGAAUAAGCACCGGCUAACUACGUGCCAGCAGCCGCAGUAAAAC
rnacentral:rRNA from 1 species